rnacentral:rRNA from 1 species
AUUGAACGCUGGCGGCAGGCUUAACACAUGCAAGUCGAGCGGAGCGAGGGUGCUUGCACCUUAGCUUAGCGGCGGACGGGUGAGUAAUGCUUAGGAAUCUGCCUAUUAGUGGGGGACAACAUUCCGAAAGGGAUGCUAAUACCGCAUACGCCCUACGGGGGAAAGCAGGGGAUCUUCGGACCUUGCGCUAAUAGAUGAGCCUAAGUCGGAUUAGCUAGUUGGUGGGGUAAAGGCCUACCAAAGCGACGAUCUGUAGCGGGUCUGAGAGGAUGAUCCGCCACACUGGGACUGAGACACGGCCCAGACUCCUACGGGAGGCAGCAGUGGGGAAUAUUGGACAAUGGGCGGAAGCCUGAUCCAGCCAUGCCGCGUGUGUGAAGAAGGCCUUUUGGUUGUAAAGCACUUUAAGCGAGGAGGAGGCUCUUAAGGUUAAUACCCUUGAUGAGUGGACGUUACUCGCAGAAUAAGCACCGGCUAACUCUGUGCCAGCCGCCGCGGUAAUAC